rnacentral:rRNA from 1 species
CAGCUUAGNGGCGCACGGGAGAGUAAUAUAGAGUAAAUCCGCCCCAAAGAAGAGGACAAGUGGGGGAAACGACCGGGAAGACCCCAGAUGCCUCCAGGACAGAAGCAAGCAAGGGAAACAUUUAUGGCUUUGGGAUGAGACUGUACGGUAUCAGCUUGUUGGUGAGGUAAUGGCUCACCAAGGCAAUGACACCUAACUGGUUUGAGAGGAUGAUCAGUCACACUGGAACUGAGACACGGUCCAGACUCCUACGGGAGGCAGCAGUGGGGAAUAUUGCACAAUGGACGAAAGUCUGAUGCAGCAACGCCGCGUGGAGGAUGACACAUUUCGGUGCGUAAACUCCUUUUAUAUGAGAAGAUAAUGACGGUAUCAUAUGAAUAAGCACCGGCUAACUCCGUGCCAGCAGCCGCGGUAAUACGGGGGGUGCAAGCGUUACUCGGAAUCACUGGGCGUAAAGAGAAUGUAGGCGGGUAGUUAAGUUGGAAGUGAAAUCCUAUGGCUCAACCAUAGAACUGCUUCCAAAACUGAUUAUCUAGAAUAUGGGAGAGGGAGAUGGAAUUUCUGGUGUAGGGGUAAAAUCCGUAGAGAUCAGAAGGAAUACCGAUUGCGAAGGCGAUCUACUGGAACAUUAUUGACGCUGAGAUUCGAAAGCGUGGGGAGCAAACAGGAUUAAAUACCCUGGUAGUCCACGCCCUAAACCAUGCCACCUAGUUGUUGCUAUACUAGAUAUAGCCAGAAUGGCAGUAACACAUUAAGUGUGCCGCCUGGGGAGUACGGUCGCAAGAUUAAAACUCAAAGGAAUAGACGGGGACCCGCCCAAGCGGUGGAGCAUGUGGUUUAACUCGACGAUACGCGAAGAACCUUACCUGGCCUUGACAUAGACAGAAUUUAGUAGAGAUAUAAAAGUGCUGGUUUACCAGAGCUGUUAUACAGGUGCUGCACGGCUGUCGUCAGCUCGUGUCGUGAGAUGUUGGGUUAAGUCCCGCAACGAGCGCAACCCACGUGAUUAGUUGCUAACAGUUCGGCUGAGAACUCUAAUCAGACUGCCUGGGUAACCAGGAGGAAGGUGUGGACGACGUCAAGUCAUCAUGGCCCUUACGGCCAGGGCUACACACGUGCUACAAUGGGGUAUACAGAGAGCCGCAAUACCGCGAGGUGGAGCAAAUCUUUAAAAUAUCUCCCAGUUCGGAUAGCACUCUGCAACUCGAGUGCUUGAAGUUGGAAUCGCUAGUAAUCGUGGAUCAGCAAUGCCACGGUGAAUACGUUCCCGGGUCUUGUACUCACCGCCCGUCACACCAUGGGAAUUGAAUUCAUUCGAAGCGGGGAUGCUAAAACCGCUACCGUCCACAGUGGAUUUAGUAACUGGGG